AACAAAAGACACAUGCUUCCUUAUUUUCUUAAUUCCUCUCUCCCUGAAGCAGAGUUCAAUAGAAUCAUAAAGGACUUGCACCGUGACUCCUUGGGGCAACCAGAACUGAGGGAUAGCAAAGCUGGAAGAGAUGUCACNGUAUCCAGUUCCUGAAUGUAUGUGCAAGGAUUCACAUACUCGUUCCUCCAUGUGAUCAAGUGCAAAAGAUUGCCAACAUAGAGAUCAGAAUGCAACAGAUUGCUUCAUUCUGA
rnacentral:misc_RNA from 1 species